rnacentral:misc_RNA from 1 species
GAAGUGAACAAAGGAAGGCAGACACUCGCCAGGUGCGGAUCGCUCUGCGGCAAGGAAACUACGGACGUGGGCGAAGAAUCGCACAUCGUUGAAAAACGAAACCCCCCAAACCAAGACGAGUGAGGCCUCGUGAAGCGGCAUUCAAGCUCUCUCCCACUAUCCGAGCACACACACACACAGACGCACAAACUUUAUAGGCCCCCGUCUCUGUGCCUUGGCCACCUUCUCCCUCUCUCUAGUCGUAGAUCUACACCAACCACUGCUUCUUCGCUUUACCCCCUUUCUCUCUCUUCGAGCGGGCCGUCCUCGUUACUUUUUAGUGCCCAGAGCACAGCGACCAAAGUGACCGGGAGAGCACCAACAGUCGACGGUUUAUACGCAUUUAAGCAGACCCACCGACAUAGCUCAGCAGUGUCACAUGCACAGCUGCUAACGCGACGCACGAGUGGCGGCAUUCGAUUGUGCAUUCAAAGCCGUUUCUGUGUCUGCUCUCUUCCUCCCCCACGUUAUUAUUGGCUGCGUCCUGCCGCCAUCCGUGCGCUGCACCGCGCAACCGCUGCGGCACUCGUGUGCCUCACCCUUCGCUCCCCCUCGCCUUCACCUAACGCUGGGCAGCGUUUCUUAGGAAGCUAGCAGUGCUUGGUGGUUGUGGUGGUGUGCGUGCGUGCGUGUAUUGCUCUCCACCUCUUUCCGUUCUACCUUUUUUCUUUUUCGUUUGUGAGGGUGAGGUGUUGGCUUUGCAGGCGCCUCCUUUCUUUGCGUCUCUUCUCUUGCGUGCUCGCCCUAAUCUUCUUCCCUGUGCCUGAUUGUGGCCACUCCUCGUUUUUUUUGUUGAGUCGUUGUGAGACCGUAGGUUAGUCGCUGCAUCGUACAUGUGCAUCUUGCGCCGUGGUCUCUGGCGGACGUUUUCGGUUUAAACGGUAAUAGGGUGACCGUGGCUACGUGCCCUUGUUGUUGUUUGGCUUCUUUUCGGUCUGGUUUUGUAUGAGUGUGCGUGUGUCACCUCUCCUCUUUCUUUUUUGCGACGCGCGCUCACACACACACACACACCUGCAGCACUACGUCUUCCCUUUUGACUCUUCCUCAUUCCCUCUCCUUCCAUCUCUUCUUUACUCACGUCUUUUCAUCUCCGUAUUACACCCCCUCGCCUCUCCUGACCUUCUCGCCGACGCUGGCCAAUCGUUGUUCUCUCUAUCUUUUUUUUUGUUCGCGUUACUGUGGCGGCUCACUGCUUUGCCUCCUCCUCACUGCUGUUUGCUCGCUUCUUCUCUUAGGUUUCUCUCCUUCCUCUCUCCCCAACACACAGACACACCUUUCUCUCUUUUCACAUCCCUUCGCUGCUUUGGCGUGUUGCCGUCGCCGUUUUGUUGCGCACUCGCUCUUCCCCUUCCCACCCCCCAAAACGUAUUUGCCACUCCACGCCGUCUUGCAGCCGUGUGCUUUUCCCUUUGUAAACCUUUCUCUUCGCGCCUCCUCUCGCUCUCUCCCGUGCCUUUGUGUGUGUGCGUGUGCGCCGUGCUUGACUGCUCACUGCGCUCACUACACACCGCCCCUCACGCCAGCACCCACCCCCCGCACGUUCAUUUUUGCCACCCUGCGUUUUCUGCGUCUGUUAUUCAGGGGCUGGGGGGGAUUCGGCGAUAAAAGCGAACGUAUGCGCAUGCACAUUCACGCAGGCGCUCAGGGUAUCCAGAUCGAUUUAAUUUUCUACGGAUUGGAUAUCAGGAAGGACGUGGCAUGUACACUGGCGUCUUUAGCAUGUUUGCCGCGUGGGCCGCUGCUGGGGCACACCGCGGAAACUGGCGAACACGCGUGGCGAACUCGUGGGUAGCUGCGCCGUCUAAUGACCUACGCACACCGUCGUCCGUGUGCCUGAUCUCUUAUUCCCAGGCAGAACGUACCACAAGCACUGAUAUAGGCCGACGAGGUGGCGCUGUGCUUGGUGCCACCGCGCCAGAUAUCGAAGGGCCGCGAUACCGACAACGGAGCCUCUCAGUGCAAAGGCUUCUGUCGCCCACCGAGGCGCCGUCUCCGCUGAGAGUGAAGACGACACUCACGGAACAGCGCAUGACUGCAGUAAUAUCGUCGGUGGCAGCGACCGCCGCGGCCGCGUCGCUCGCGACUCGUAUGCGCGUUUGCGCGGCCUUGGACGCGGCAGCUAAAUCCGACGAGAUGCCUGCUGACACAGGCACGGCUCCAUCCUUCGAUUGCGCUUCACAGCACACAAAAGACGGUGCUCCUGCCGCUGCGUCACCCGAUGACAGCGCUGCGUUCACUGAGAUGGCCGGGCAAAAACAAAGUUCACCUGCCGCUGACCACACAUGCGACAGCCCCCCCUUGCCGCCAUCAGGCACUGAGCCACUGGCUGCCACGCCACCAGCGCCGGUCUUCUCCUUCCACGGCAAUCCGCAAGAGUUGCAGGACCGCCUUCGGGGUGCCAAAGCCUUGGUGUUUUUCUACAAGGCAUCAUGCGCCCCAUGCGCCGUGAUUCGGUCAAAGCUGCUUCACGCGGUGGCGGGAGCUGGUGGCGGUGGCAGCGGUGCCACAGCCGCUCCACCGACCUCCACGGAGCACGCUACAGAGGCUGCAGGGGUCGAUGGCUUGCCAUCGCCUUUGCUUGAUCACCUGCAGCAAAACCAGCGCGAACCAGACAGCCCCACAGGUGUGUCAGCUGCCGCGCCAAUCGCCGCUUACGCAGAGGCCAAGGAUACGAAGGCUGCUGGAGCAACCACUGCCUCCCUUCCUGCCACAACCAUGACGCUAGAAGAUCAAAAAUCCUGCGACGUUGCCUGCCGCUUCCUCGGGGACGCGACCAAGUCGUUCGCGCACUCUGUAAUCCUAAUCACGGUGGACACGAACGCGAAUGCGGAGGUGACUGCCUUGCACGACAUCCGCAGUCUCCCAACAUUCAUGGCGUACCGCAACGGCUGUAUUGUAGGCCGCUUUGAAGGUUCUCAGGAAGACGAGAUCAAUAAGCUGGUGGACCUCCUCGCAGAGAACUCGACGGAGAGAAGUCCCACCACCGACAACAGGACGCCCUCCCCGCUGCCGCAACAAGAGGGCGCAACCUCGAUACGUGUGUCAGGCGACUAACAUGGGGGUCACCUGUGACUCCGUUUCUCUUUUGAAUCUCCUUUUUUCAAAAGACGCGCCAGCCAGCGAAGGAACGCACAAGACACGACCGAAGAGUGCGAUGAAAUGGGAGCAACGAAGCAUACGCUAGCCAUGGCGCGCCUUACUCAGGUUUUUCUCCACAUAUAUAUAUAUAUAUAUAUAUUGCUUCUUUGAUGGCGGCUCAAGCUCGUGUCUGUCCUUGUAGUUUUUUUUUUUUUGCUCCCCGAUCGGGUGUGUCUGCGAGUGUGUGCUACUAGGCGUGUGCCGUCUUGUGCUUUUCCGUGAACCUUGACUGUGCAGGACCGUCUUUGUGUCUCCUCCGCGCACUCGGUCUUUCUGCUGUUCAGUGAGGGGUGGCGUGCCGGCUGCGGUGGCGCACACGCCGCCGAGCACUCUCGCUCGCGCUCUCUGCCAGAGGAUUCCCCACAAAAGCUUCAAAGCCACGCUCUGGCGGAGGGCGAAAAACGCCGAGCAGGAGAGAGACUGAAGGUACAGAGAAGCGUGUCUCAGUGUACGGCUGUGCUGAACAACAAUGUCGACGCACACCGCCACAGACGCGCCCAAGACACGGAGCCGAAACAGCAGGCGGCAGGGCACACAACUCUGCUGUACUCGCAACGCCUCGGCUGCCCUUUUCGACAGGGAAC